rnacentral:rRNA from 1 species
AUUGAACGCUGGCGGAAUGCUUUACACAUGCAAGUCGAACGGUAACAGGUCUUCGGAUGCUGACGAGUGGCGAACGGGUGAGUAAUAUAUCGGAACGUGCCCAGUCGUGGGGGAUAACGUAGCGAAAGUUACGCUAAUACCGCAUACGAUCUACGGAUGAAAGCGGGGGAUCGCAAGACCUCGCGCGAUUGGAGCGGCCGAUAUCAGAUUAGGUAGUUGGUGGGGUAAAGGCUCACCAAGCCAACGAUCUGUAGCUGGUCUGAGAGGACGACCAGCCACACUGGAACUGAGACACGGUCCAGACUCCUACGGGAGGCAGCAGUGGGGAAUUUUGGACAAUGGGCGAAAGCCUGACGGAGCAAUACCGCGUGAGGGAAGAAUGCCUAUGGGUUGUAAACCUCUUUUUUCAGGGAGGAAUAAAAUGACGUGUACCUGAAGAAUAAGCAUCGGCUAACUCCGUG